GACGAACGCUGGCGGCGCGCUUAACACAUGCAAGUCGAACGGAAAGGCCUGCUUUCCCUUGUGGAUUGCGGGUACUCGAGUGGCGAACGGGUGAGUAACACGUGAGUGAUCUGCCCCCAACUUGGGUAUAAGCCUGGGAAACUGGGUCUAAUUCCCGAUAGGACUGCAGGGUGGUGCCUGUGGUGGAAAACGAUUUUCUAGUGGUUGGGGAUGAGCUCGCGGCCUAUCAGCUUGUUGGUGGGGUAAUGGCCUACCAAGGCGGCGACGGGUAGCCGGCCUGGGAGCGUGGACGGCCACAUUGGGACUGGGAUACGGCCCAGACUCCUACGGGAGGCAGCAGUGGGGAAUAUUGCACAAUGGGCGGAAGCCUGAUGCAGCGACGCCGCGUGGGGGAUGACGGCCUUCGGGUUGUAAACUCCUUUCGACCGCGAGGAAGCCACCUGGUUGGAAGGGUGGUGACGGUAGUGGUAGAAGAAGCACCGGCUAACUACGUG
rnacentral:rRNA from 1 species